CACGGGGGGAGCAAGCGUUAUUCGGAAUUAUUGGGCGUAAAGGGCGCGUAGGCGGCUUGGCAAGUGGAAGGUGAAAUCCCUGGGCUCAACCCAGGAACUGCGUCCAAGACUGGGAGGCUUGAAUCCGGGAGAGGAAUGCGGAAUUCCAGGUGUAGCGGUGAAAUGCGUAGAUAUCUGGAGGAACACCGGUGGCGAAGGCGGCAUCCUGGACCGGUAUUGACACUGAGGCGCGAAAGCCAGGGGAGCAAACGGG
rnacentral:rRNA from 1 species